CUCAAAGGAAUUGACGGGGCCCGCACAGCGUGGAGCAUGUGGUUAAUUCGAAGCAACGCGAAGAACCUUACCAGGCCUUGACAUGCAGAGAACUUUCCAGAGAUGGAUUGGUGCCUUCGGGAACUCUGACACAGGUGCUGCAUGGCUGUCGUCAGCUCGUGUCGUGAGAUGUUGGGUUAAGUCCCGUAACGAGCGCAACCCUUGUCCUUAGUUACCAGCACGUUAUGGUGGGCACUCUAAGGAGACUGCCGGUGACAAACCGGAGGAAGGUGGGGAUGACGUCAAGUCAUCAUGCCCCUUAUGUCCAGGGCUUCACACAUGCUACAAUGGCCAGUACAGAGGGCUGCGAGACCGUGAGGUGGAGCGAAUCCCUUAAAGCUGGUCUCAGUUCGGAUCGGGGUCUGCAACUCGACCCCGUGAAGCUGGAAUCGCUAGUAAUCGCGCAUCCAGCCAUGGCGCGGUGAAUACGUUCCGGCCUU
rnacentral:rRNA from 1 species